rnacentral:lncRNA from 1 species
UUAGUUUCUAGAAUUAUCAUGGGGCAAGAGAUUUUAAUGCCGAGUCUAAUUGGUACUUGACAGCUGACAGGGUUCUGCAUCACUUUGAAUCGCUGUAAACUAUUAUAUGUUAUUAUAUCCUGGGUGCUUAUUGUAUAAUUAAAACUUCCACUCGUCUCUAUUAUUUCUUCACGGCCCCACCAAAAUGAAAAACAGAAGCUUUUUCAAUGUUUUGACCUUGUGACGAGGAGCAUCAGUCUAAUUAUAGUUAUUUGGUUGAUAGGAAAAUGGAGCAAAUGUUCAGGUGCCAAAAAUGCCAACAGGUGCUUGUGAUGCAACACCACCGCUAGGCCAUUCAGCUCCAGAAGGGAAUGGUUUUCCUGACAAAAAGGUGAGCUUUUAUCAAAUAUUUUUAAUGAUACCAGUUUAUUGAGUUCAGGAUGUAAACAAUUGAUUUCUUUUUUGCUGUCAUUUUUAUUCUAGCUUGUUCGGUUCUUUUGGAGAUAUAAUAGUUUUUCUUCAAAAUCUCUCCAGUAGAGCUAAUAAAAAGUGUUUUUUCCUUAAAAUAAAAUAAUUUUACACUACUAUUUCUUUGGGCGAGACCUCAAUACAUGUAAGUUUGCUGGUUGUGUAAUCUGAGUUUAUCCCUUGAGAAAUACAUGAUUAACACUACCUUGUAUAUCUUUAUAUUCCGACCACUCUAUGUCCCCUUUAUUUUAAAACUACUUUGCGGGGUUGGUUCUUAGGGCAAGAAAGAGAUCAAGGUAGAACAGAUUGUAGAAUCAGAGACAUCAGAUCUGAAGAAACCUCUUUCAGCUACAGUUUCCACAUCUAACCUGGAUGCAAACAUAAUAUUAGACUUGGAUUCAGACUCGGACGAUAUGAUGCAAGAAUAACCUAUAAAUCUGCAACAAUCAGCUUAGGAAAAUAUUUUUUGUCCACUCCGGUAAAAGUAAAAUGAAGUUGAGCACAUACCUGUCAAAAGAUGCUUUCAGUCAAAUUUAGAGUAGCAAGACCCAACAAACAUGUAAUUUGUCCAAAUUUGAUUGUGAAUUAACAAAGGAGAAGAUAAAGAAAUGCUUUGUCUCGGAGCAGUCUUCUGCAACUACAUGACUCACCUAGAGAAGGGGGACAGACAGGUGAUUUCGCAAUAUAAUUGCGCAAGUUAGUUGAUGGCAGGUGUUUGCAGCUUUUGGUAAUAGAAGUGGAACCUUCUAUUAGUAUAAAAGGAAAUAUAUUAGAAUAUAUGCUAUGUAGUAUGUACAAAUGUAGACAGAAUUCUAGAUGUUAGUUACCUUUUGUUGGUGCUUGAAUGGAAAUUGAGCAGAAUGAGGAUCUUUGAUCAAAAUUUUGCUAAACUAUUGAUCAGCUCAAAUCCAACUUAAGGUUGUC